UACUUUACUUCUAUGGAGUAUUAAAGAGGAGGUACUUUACUUCUAUGGGGUAUUAAAGAGGAGGUACUUUACUUCUAUGGGGUAUUAAAGAGGAGGUAUUUUACUUCUAUGGGGUAUUAAAGAGGAGGUACUUUACUUCUAUGGGGUAUUAAAGAGGAGGUACUUUACUUCUCUGGGGUAUUAAAGAGGAGUUACUUUACUUCUAUGGGGUAUUAAAGAGGAGGUCAUUUACUUCUAUGGGGUAUUAACUGUAACACAUAACAUAUUUAGAUCACCAUGUUUCCUUUUAUUGUUUUGAAAAUUCUAUAUUCGCCCAAAACAUAGUAUUAACAUGUUUUAUAAGUUUCCCUUUCAUUUUUGACGCUCUGAGUCUCC